GGUGAAAAGCACCCCGGAAGGGGAGUGAAACAGUUCCUGAAACCGUGUGCCUACAAGUAGUUAGAGCCCGUUAAUGGGUGAUAGCGUGCCUUUUGUAGAAUGAACCGGCGAGUUACGAUUUGUUGCAAGGUUAAGCGGAAAAAGCGGAGCCGUAGCGAAAGCGAGUCUGAAUAGGGCGCAUAAGUAACAGGUCGUAGACCCGAAACCAGGUGAUCUACCCAUGUCCAGGAUGAAGGUAAGGUAAUACUUACUGGAGGUCCGAACCCACGCACGUUGAAAAGUGCGGGGAUGAGGUGUGGGUAGCGGAGAAAUUCCAAUCGAACUUGGAGAUAGCUGGUUCUCUCCGAAAUAGCUUUAGGGCUAGCCUCGAGGUAAAGAGUCAUGGAGGUAGAGCACUGUUUGGACUAGGGGCCCUUCUCGGGUUACCGAAUUCAGAUAAACUCCGAAUGCCAUGUACUUAUACUCGGGAGUCAGACUGCGAGUGAUAAGAUCCGUAGUCGAAAGGGAAACAGCCCAGACCACCAGUUAAGGUCCCCAAAUAUAUGUUAAGUGGAAAAGGAUGUGGGGUUGCUUAGACAACCAGGAUGUUGGCUUAGAAGCAGCCACCAUUGAAAGAGUGCGUAAUAGCUCACUGGUCGAGUGACCCCGCGCCGAAAAUGUACCGGGGCUAAACAUAUUACCGAAACUGUGGAUGAACCUCUUUAGAGGUUCGUGGUAGGAGAGCGUUCUAAGGGCGGUGAAGUCAGACCGGAAGGACUGGUGGAGCGCUUAGAAGUGAGAAUGCCGGUAUGAGUAGCGAAAGAAGGGUGAGAAUCCCUUCCACCGAAUAUCUAAGGUUUCCUGAGGAAGGCUCGUCCGCUCAGGGUUAGUCGGGACCUAAGCCGAGGCCGAUAGGCGUAGGCGAUGGACAACAGGUAGAGAUUCCUGUACCAGUGCUAAUUGUUUAACCGAUGGGGUGACACAGAAGGAUAGGGAAUCGCACGAAUGGAAAUGUGCGUCCAAGCAGUGAGUGUGAGAAGUAGGCAAAUCCGCUUCUCGCGAAGCAUGAGCUGUGAUGGGGAAGGAAAUUAAGUACGGAAGUUCCUGAUUUCACGCUGUCAAGAAAAGCCUCUAGGAAGAGUAGUACUGCCCGUACCGCAAACCGACACAGGUAGAUGAGGAGAGAAUCCUAAGGUGAGCGAGAGAACUCUCGUUAAGGAACUCGGCAAAAUGACCCCGUAACUUCGGGAGAAGGGGUGCUCUAUUAGGGUGCAAGCCCGAGAGAGCCGCAGUGAAUAGGCCCAGGCGACUGUUUAGCAAAAACACAGGUCUCUGCAAAACCGUAAGGUGACGUAUAGGGGCUGACGCCUGCCCGGUGCUGGAAGGUUAAGAGGAGUGCUUAGCUUCGGCGAAGGUACGAAUUGAAGCCCCAGUAAACGGCGGCCGUAACUAUAACGGUCCUAAGGUAGCGAAAUUCCUUGUCGGGUAAGUUCCGACCCGCACGAAAGGCGCAACGAUCUGGGCACUGUCUCAACGAGAGACUCGGUGAAAUUAUAGUACCUGUGAAGAUGCAGGUUACCCGCGACAGGACGGAAAGACCCCGUGGAGCUUUACUGCAACCUGAUAUGGAAUGUUUGUACCGCUUGUACAGGAUAGGUAGGAGCCGAAGAGACGUGUGCGCUAGCAUACGAGGAGGCAAUGGUGGGAUACUACCCUGGCUGUAUGACCAUUCUAACCCGCCACGCUUAGCGCGUGGGGAGACAGUGUCAGGUGGGCAGUUUGACUGGGGCGGUCGCCUCCUAAAGAGUAACGGAGGCGCCCAAAGGUUCCCUCAGAAUGGAUGGAAAUCAUUCGCAGAGUGUAAAGGCACAAGGGAGCUUGACUGCGAGACUGACAAGUCGAGCAGGGACGAAAGUCGGGCUUAGUGAUCCGGUGGUUCCGCAUGGAAGGGCCAUCGCUCAACGGAUAAAAGCUACCCCGGGGAUAACAGGCUUAUCUCCCCCAAGAGUCCACAUCGACGGGGAGGUUUGGCACCUCGAUGUCGGCUCGUCGCAUCCUGGGGCUGUAGUCGGUCCCAAGGGUUGGGCUGUUCGCCCAUUAAAGCGGCACGCGAGCUGGGUUCAGAACGUCGUGAGACAGUUCGGUCCCUAUCCGUCGCGGGCGCAGGAAAUUUGAGAGGAGCUGUCCUUAGUACGAGAGGACCGGGAUGGACACACCGCUGGUGUACCAGUUGUUCCGCCAGGAGCAUCGCUGGGUAGCUAUGUGUGGCAGGGAUAAACGCUGAAAGCAUCUAAGCGUGAAGCCCCCCUCAAGAUGAGAUUUCCCAUUUCUUCGGAAAGUAAGAUCCCUGAAAGAUGAUCAGGUAGAUAGGUUUGGAGUGGAAGUGUAGCGAUACAUGGAGCGGACAAAUACUAAUCGAUCGAGGACUUAACCAAAA
rnacentral:rRNA from 1 species